rnacentral:tRNA from 1 species
GCUUCAAUAGCAUAGUGGUAGUGCAGCUCACUUGUAAUGAGCAGGUCGUAGGUUCGAAUCCUACUUGAAGCUCCA